CUUUGAGCCAGCUUUAAUAGCUGAGGGACCCUCCCUGCCCCAGCUAAGAGCCCUCAGCCCGUAACGAGGCUUUCUAUAAAGUCCCCAUACAGGGCUGUCCUUCUGGUUUUCUUGGGAGCUUUAGGAAAGGUGGCAGCAGUCUUCUCUAGUUCAGGGGUUGCUACUGCUCAUCUCUGAUAACAAAAGCAAGAAAUUAUCUGCUUCUACAGGGAAGGCUUCAGUAUGUGCUUUUAUCUUUAAUUAGUGUGUGGAUAUUAGGCAAGGAAAGGCCUACCUUAUGGUAUUCUUAUCUGUUCAAGCUCUGUCCUGGAUGCAUUCAGUGCUGAAGGUGCAGGAAGGAAGGUGUUAUGCAGCCAGCCCCUCUCCAGAGCUGGCUGCUGCUUUCAAAACACAGCCAGCACCUCAGCUGCCUGCCUGUGGGGGUGUUAUAAGGGUAAAAGAAGGUUUUAAAGCUGAGCCUGGGGUAAUCAGUUGAGGAAGCUGUGUGUGCUGCUGGACAACAGGAAUUGAGAUUGUAGCUCCUGCUCCUGGAGAAUACUGAACCUAGAGGAGGAAUGUGAUAAACUGGCUGCUCCAAGAACCAGAGCGGGCUGUGGAAUUGGACUUUGCUGAUUAUUGUAGGAAGGACUCCCUGGAUGAGGCAAUCAAGAUGAAGUAUUUUCUACCCUACACAGCCAGGAUUAAGGCUGGUGCCUGCUGGUGGAAGAUGCACCAACCUGCAGCAGUGUGAGGCUGGGGAGGGGUUGUGAUAAACCUCUCUGUGACAUAGAUGUUGUAAGUCAUAAUCACCUGCUCCUUGGUGCUCAUGGAUGUUCCAGACCCUGCCUCAGUGCCCCACUGAUGCAGCACAACCUCACACCUCCAGCUGCAAGCUGCAUCCCUGCGGUAAAGCAGCCAGCUCAGAGAAGCCUCUGCUUGGCCAAGCCCUGGGCAAGGCUCCCCUGGUGCCUCUGCAGGUGGGAGACCCCGGGGAUUCUCCAGGCUGGAGAUGUCCGGGUGAGGCUGGAGGGAUCUGUGGGGGGUGGGCUGCUGGAGGUGUGAGCAUCUCGGCUCUGCUGCUAGCAAGGGUUACAGCUCGCUGGCUACUGCCCUGUGCUGCUGUGGCUUGGCUGGUGAGAAGCACUGCAUGAAGCUGCAGUGGCUUGGUUGGUUUCUGUAGCACGUGUCGUCUGGGUGCCCGUGGGGAUGAUAGAGCUGCACUUAAGGACUACAGGCACAGAGUGGGGUUACAGCAGGUA
rnacentral:lncRNA from 1 species